GUCUACGGCCAUGCCACCCUGAACAUGCCCAAUCCCAUCUGAUCUCAGAAGCUAAGCAGGGUCAGGCUUCGUUAGUACUUGGAUGGGAGACCAACUAGGAAGACCGGGCACUGCAGGCG
rnacentral:rRNA from 1 species